AGCUGGAAUCGCUAGUAAUCGCGGAUCAGAAUGCCGCGGUGAAUACGUUCCCGGGUCUUGUACACACCGCCCGUCACACCAUGGGAGUCAGUAACGCCCGAAGUCAGUGACCUAACCGAAAGGGAGGAGCUGCCGAAGGCGGGACGGAUGACUGGGGUGAAGUCGUAACAAGGUAAC
rnacentral:rRNA from 1 species